rnacentral:rRNA from 1 species
AGUGAACGCUGGCGGUAGGCCUAACACAUGCAAGUCGAACGGCAGCACAGUAAGAGCUUGCUCUUACGGGUGGCGAGUGGCGGACGGGUGAGGAAUACAUCGGAAUCUACUUUUUCGUGGGGGAUAACGUAGGGAAACUUACGCUAAUACCGCAUACGACCUACGGGUGAAAGCAGGGGAUCUUCGGACCUUGCGCGAUUGAAUGAGCCGAUGCCGGAUUAGCUAGUUGGCGGGGUAAAGGCCCACCAAGGCGACGAUCCGUAGCUGGUCUGAGAGGAUGAUCAGCCACACUGGAACUGAGACACGGUCCAGACUCCUACGGGAGGCAGCAGCAGGGAAUAUUGGACAAUGGGCGCAAGCCUGAUCCAGCCAUACCGCGUGGGUGAAGAAGGCCUUCGGGUUGUAAAGCCCUUUUGUUGGGAAAGAAAAGCAGCAGGUUAAUACCCCGCUGUUCUGACGGUACCCAAAGAAUAAGCACCGGCUAACUUCGUG